rnacentral:rRNA from 1 species
AGAGUUUGAUCAUGGCUCAGAUUGAACGCUGGCGGCAUGCCUUACACAUGCAAGUCGAACGCGAAAGUGGGGGCAACCCUGCGAGUAGAGUGGCGAACGGGUGAGUAACACAUCGGAACGUACCCAGGAGUGGGGGACAACCUCGAGAAAUCGAGGCUAAUACCGCAUACGUCCUGAGGGAGAAAGCGGGGGAUUCGCAAGGACCUCGCGCUCAUGGAGCGGCCGAUGUCGGAUUAGCUAGUUGGCGGGGUAAAAGCCCACCAAGGCUACGAUCCGUAGCUGGUUUGAGAGAACGACCAGCCACACUGGGACUGAGACACGGCCCAGACUCCUACGGGAGGCAGCAGUGGGGAAUUUUGGACAAUGGGGGCAACCCUGAUCCAGCCAUGCCGCGUGAGUGAAGAAGGCCUUCGGGUUGUAAAGCUCUUUCGGCCGGAACGAAAUCGCGUACGUGAAUAACGUGCGUGGAUGACGGUACUGGAAGAAGAAGCACCGGCUAACUACGUGCCAGCAGCCGCGGUAAUACGUAGGGUGCGAGCGUUAAUCGGAAUUACUGGGCGUAAAGCGUGCGCAGGCGGUUCUGCAAGUCAGAUGUGAAAUCCCCGGGCUUAACCUGGGAACUGCGUUUGAAACUACGGAGCUAGAGUACGGCAGAGGGGGGUGGAAUUCCCGUGUAGCAGUGAAAUGCGUAGAUAUGUGGAGGAACACCGAUGGCGAAGGCAGCCCCCUGGGCCGAUACUGACGCUCAGGCACGAAAGCGUGGGGAGCAAACAGGAUUAGAUACCCUAGUAGUCC